AAUACCCGCUGAACUUAAGCAUAUCAAUAAGCCGGA
rnacentral:rRNA from 1 species